AUGACCUUCUUUAAAGACACGUUACAGCAAGAGGAUACAGAACUCCCGCUCCGUAAUUCAAAUCAGCUCUUUUUUGAGUUGCGAGACAUUCUUCUCAAUUUUGAAAUAAUGGAACUGAGACUCUUGAUUGGUUUCUUGAUGACCUUCCCUGCAUGUGUUUCUUCACAGAAUCUAGUAGAAACUGGUGGUGGACUGAAAAGGCCUGGAGAGAACCUGCAACUGACCUGUACAGUGUCCGGAUUUUCUCUAACAAGUUGGGCUGUGACCUGGACCCGUCAGACCCUGGGGAAAGGACUGGAGUGGGUUGCAGAGAUCUGGAGCAACGGAAGCCCUUACUAUAACAGUGCUCUCCGAAAUCGUAUGAGUAUCUCAAGAGACACUUCAAAUGGCCAGGUGUUCCUGCAGCUGAAUGCACUGACGCCUGAAGACACUGCCAUGUAUUACUGUGCGAGAGGCACACUGAAGAAACCCUUCUGA